GAUGAACGCUGGCGGCGUGCCUAAUACAUGCAAGUCGAGCGAACGGACGAGAAGCUUGCUUCUCUGAUGUUAGCGGCGGACGGGUGAGUAACACGUGGAUAACCUACCUAUAAGACUGGGAUAACUUCGGGAAACUGGAGCUAAUACCGGAUACUAUUUUGAACCGCAUGGUUCAAAAGUGAAAGACGGUCUUGCUGUCACUUAUAGAUGGAUCCGCGCUGCAUUAGCUAGUUGGUAAGGUAACGGCUUACCAAGGCAACGAUGCAUAGCCGACCUGAGAGGGUGAUCGGCCACACUGGAACUGAGACACGGUCCAGACUCCUACGGGAGGCAGCAGUAGGGAAUCUUCCGCAAUGGGCGAAAGCCUGACGGAGCAACGCCGCGUGAGUGAUGAAGGUCUUCGGAUCGUAAAACUCUGUUAUUAGGGAAGAACAUAUGUGUAAGUAACUGUGCACAGCUUGACGGUACCUAAUCAGAAAGCCACGGCUAACUACGUG
rnacentral:rRNA from 1 species